ACCCGAGGGGGGGGGGGGGGGGGGGGGGGGGGGGGGGAAAAAGGGGGCUUUUUUGGUUUUUUUAUUUUUUUGGGUUUUCCCCCCCCCUUCCUUUCCCCUGGGCCCCCAUUUUUCCCCCUUUUUCCCCCUUUUUCCCCCUUUUUCCCCCUUUCCCCGGGGCCAAAAAAAUUCCCCCCCCCCCCCCCCCUUUUUUUGGGGGGGGGGGGGGGGUGGGUUUUUGGGGAAAUUUUUCUUUUUUUUUUUUGGGGCCUCUUCCUCACCUCACUUAUCUUCCCCCGCCUCCUUCCUCCUCCCCUCUUCCCCCUCCCCCUCCCCCUCCUUCGCAACCACCUCGGAGCCUCUCGCGACUGGCCCUUUAAGAGGAUAUUCCGUCCUCUCUCCGCGCUCCUGCCCCCGGCCGGCCCCACAGCCCGGACGCGCUUUCACCGGAUCAAGAUGAGACUCAUGAGAAAUCUCUGAUCAAAAUGUGGGUGACUAUUUGUCUACUUCAGAAGAUAUUUUGAUUCAGCCACCGGUUGAAAUUCCUUGCGAAUCAUCCCUUCUGGACUUCUCUUUUUACCUCUCUAAAGUACCAUCGGGACUAGGUGACUUCCAGGAUCCCUUCUAGGUUGGAGAAUCUGGUCCUUUCAUCCCCACCCACCUUGGAAAUCCCACAUUGUGAUUCCAAUUGCAGCUGCCUCUCCUAAUCUUUCUUACAUGGGGUAGACUCUCAAAACGUUUGAGCUAAAUCAGGCAAGAAAAAUAGAUCCCAGACCACAGCUCCCAGCUUUCCACCCCCAACCACCUCCGGGCCCCAUCCCACCCCUUAGAAAGAGAUUUUGAGAAAGUUUCCUAAAUGAGAGCACCCCCUGG
rnacentral:lncRNA from 1 species